rnacentral:rRNA from 1 species
UACGUAGGGUCCGAGCGUUGUCCGGAAUUACUGGGCGUAAAGAGCUCGUAGGUGGUUUGUCGCGUUGUUCGUGAAAACUCACAGCUCAACUGUGGGCGUGCGGGCGAUACGGGCAGACUAGAGUACUGCAGGGGAGACUGGAAUUCCUGGUGUAGCGGUGGAAUGCGCAGAUAUCAGGAGGAACACCGGUGGCGAAGGCGGUGGUCUGGGCCGGUACUGACGCUGAGGAGCGAAAGCGUGGGGAGCGAACAGG